rnacentral:rRNA from 1 species
AAUCAACGCUGGCGGCGUGCCUCAGACAUGCAAGUCGAACGAUUAAAGCUCUCUUCGGAGAGUGCAUAGAGUGGCGCACGGGUGAGUAACACGUAAGUAAUCUACCUUCGAGUGGGAGUAACGUCCGGAACGGACGCUAAUACCGCAUAAUAGCAGCGGCAUCGCAAGAUGACAGUUGUUAAAGGAAGCAAUUCGCUUGAAGAGGAGCUUGCGGCAGAUUAG